CCUCCGAUGGGGACACAACGAGAGUCUUUGCCCUGGCUGCAACUGUGGUGAUGUGGAAGAUCCUCCAGGAGCCCUGCAUCCCACAAAUAGUGAGACUGUAUUUCACCCGCCUAUUUGUCCACCUGCAUUUCCAAGUGUUCUGCAGCACUUUGGAUACACCAGAGAAGGUCGAUGAAUUCUGGAAGGGAUGCCAGCAGCAACCCGGCCUUGGCACCAGCCCCAAAAGGUUUGCAGUGCAGACCCUGAAAUC